ACCGGCUGGGGGAUGAAGGUUUGUGGAUUGUAAACCCCUUUUGAUUGGGAAGAAUAACUGACGGUACCAAUCGAAUAAGCCUCGGCUAACUCCGUGCCAGCAGCCGCGGUAAUACGGAGGAGGCAAGCGUUAUCCGGAAUCACUGGGCGUAAAGCGUCUGUAGGUGGUCAAAUAAGUCAACUGUUAAAUCUUGAGGCUCAACCUCAAAAUCGCAGUGGAAGCUAUUCGACUAGAGUAUAGUAGGGGUAAAGGGAAUUUCCAGUGGAGCGGUGAAAUGCGUAGAUAUUGGGAAGAACACCGGUGGCGAAAGCGCCUUGCUGGGUCUGCACUGACACUGAGGGACGAAAGCUAGGGGAGCGAAAGGGAUUAGAUACCCCUGUA
rnacentral:rRNA from 1 species